CCACUGAGCAAGGCCAAGGAUCGAACCUGUGUCCUCACAUAUGCUAGUCAGUUCCGUUUCUGCUGAGCCGCGAUGGGAACGCCUCCUACAAAUCAUUUUUAAAUUGCUGGUCUUGGUUUGUACAUUCCCAGGGGCCAAGGACUAGGUCUUCCAUGAACUUCUAUGCAGUAAUAUUAACAAAUCACCUACCCAGAGCAAAACAUUCGGACGCUGCUGCCGAAAGAGAAGGAAUAAACGCUUUUGAGAGAGAUUUCGAGUGGAGUCAGAAGCCCAUGACCUCCAACUUUGGGCCUUUGAGGAGGGGAAAAUAAGGAACCAGCGAUGCAAACUCACCAGGGAUGCGAACUCUGGAGAAGGCCCACGCGGGGAAGGCACGCCAAGCACCCACGGACCCCUACCCCCACCAGCUCACUCAGAAUGUUACCACACCCAACUUGGGUCCACUCACCUGCCACAGUAAAGCCGAUCUAGUGACACAGAGCCAUGGGAAGGAAGGGGCCGUGUUUCUUGCAAGAUGCUGGAGCUCGAAAAGCCCAAACUCCCUCGGGGCGGGGGGGGGGGGGGUAAGCAAAGCAUUUUUAAAGACGAGGUGAGGGCGGGGCAUCCCAGGGCACAGGAUCCGCUGGUGCGCCUUCUCUGAUUGGUUGAUGGGUCGGUAAUUGAUGGGUCACAGGUGUUGACAGCCUCAGUCUUUAGGUCCUGGCUCCCUGCUUUUGGUCCUCAAGCAGUUAAUCUCUUCCAUGUGAUGGGGUUUUAGCAUCUAGAAAACAACGCAGGAAACGUGCCGUGCCGCAGGUGCUAUGAUCCAGGCCCUUCAGAGAAGAGCUAAUAAUGCCGAGAGCGUGGAGGGGGGUCUCUCCCAGGAAGACCCCAGAGGGUGCUGCUUUUCUUACAAAAAGAAAUCUGCUUUUUCA